rnacentral:rRNA from 1 species
GACGAACGCUGGCGGCGUGCUUAACACAUGCAAGUCGAACGGAAAGGCCCUGCUUUUGUUGGGUGCUCGAGUGGCGAACGGGUGAGUAACACGUGAGUAACCUGCCCUUGACUUUGGGAUAACUUCAGGAAACUGGGGCUAAUACCGGAUAGGAGCUCCUGCUGCAUGGUGGGGGUUGGAAAGUUUCGGCGGUUGGGGAUGGAUUCGCGGCGUAUCAGCUUGUUGGUGGGGUAGUGGCUUACCACGGCUUUGACGGGUAGCCGGCCUGAGAGAGUGACCGGCGCAAUAAGGACAGGGAAACCGGCAGGACGCCUACGGGGGGCAGCAGUGCGGAAUAUUGCACAAGGGGCGGAAGCCAGAUGCAGCAACGCCGGGUGCGGGAUGACGGCCUUCGAGGUGUAAGCCGCUUUCGCCUGUGACGGAGCGUGAGUGACGGUAAUGGGUAAAGAAGCACCGGCUAACUACGUG